AGAUGGAUCAUUCAUGUAGUCUGCUACAGUGUACUUUGUGAGUUUGUGAAAUUCGAAUGCGAUGGUACCGUAUUGUUCUAUUAAAACUUACUUACAUAGAAAAAACGCUUUUCAGUGGUGGAUGUCUCGGCCUUGUGCACGAUAAAGGAUGCAGCAGUAUGUGAUAAAUAAUACGACCUGCAGUUUUUAGGGACUAAUUAAUAUUCUGAAUGCGAAAUGUACUCAUAAAAUUCUUUAUGAGUAUGUCUAUUUCAGUGCCGCUAUUUGCUUCUUCUGCGCAAGAUGUGUUUAUCUGCUGACAUUUUGGUGGAUAUUUAUCGUUAUUAUUAUAUUUGGGUAUAAUGCGUCGGAUGACUUGUAUUAUAAUAGCCUGAGGUUGGUCAAGAUAACUGACUGAAUUUAAGCAUAUUAAUAAGUCGUGGAAUAGAAAUUAACCAAGAUCUCCUUAGUAACGGCGAGUGAAAAGGGGUAGGCUCAAACUGAAAAUUGGUAAUGUUAAUUACUGAAUUGUAGUCUUUUGAAGUGUCGUUACCUUGGAAUUACUUGGGCUAGUUCUUUUGGAAAGGAGAGCAGCUAAGGGUGAAAGUCCCGUUUGAUGCUCAUGAUAAUUCUUAUUUGGUACGCUCUUACUGAGUCACGUUCCUUGAGAGUGGAAUGUAAAGAUGGUGGUAAACUUCAUCUAAGGCUAAAUAUUGAGAGGGCCCGAUAGUUUACAAGUACCGUGAGGGAAAGAUGAAAAGAACUUUGAAAAGGGAGUUAAAAGUAACUGAAACUGCUGAGAGUGAAGUGGAGGAAACUAAUAACUCAGUAGGGCUUCGCUGUUUCAAUUUAAAGUUGUAAUCAGUUGUAAGAGUCUACUGUGUUACUAACAAUAGUUGUUUUGUAUUAAGUGUCGGUCUUCAUUAUCUUGUUGGAUGUGUUUAUCGACACCUAAAAACAAUAAUAAUUCAAAUUACAGGGGAUUGGAUAAUUCAAUCCUUCUAAGUGUUAGAAUUAUUUUUCUCUGUCCCGUCUUGAAACACGGACCAAGGAGUCUAACAUGUACGCGAGUAUCUGGGUUUUUAAAACCUAAGUGCAGAAUAAAGGUGACUAUUAUCAGCUUUGAUACCUGGUUAGUAACUAAGGUUGAGUAUAUAGGUUAGUACCCGAAAGAUGGUGAACUAUGCCGGGGUAGGGUGAGGCCAGAGGAAACUCUGGUGGAGGCUCGUAGCGAUACUGACGUGCAAAUCGUUCGUCAAACUUUGGUAUAGGGGCGAAAGACUAAUCGAACUAUCUAGUAGCUGGUUCCUUC
rnacentral:misc_RNA from 1 species